AUUUACUUUCGUUAUGUUAAUGUAUAUCUGGUUUAAUAUUAUGCUUGAGUAAGUGAGUUUGUGUAGUUUUAUUUAAGCCAAGUCUAUGUGCUGCUUAUGGAAGUAUUCAUGCGGUACAUUUAUAAGGUUUUGGUUGUAAUACUAAAAUAUUUAGGACUUAAAAGUAAUGUUCAAUAAGUUUGUGAGUGUGAAGUAAGUUUAGUUCAUGUACACACCGCUUAAUGAGGGCACUACUCUAAGGCAUGCAAGGUUCUAGCUAGGUGUUAC
rnacentral:rRNA from 1 species